UACGUAGAGUGCAAGCGUUGUCCGGAAUUAUUGGGCGUAAAGAGCUCGUAGGCGGUCUGUCGCGUCUGCUGUGAAAACUCGGGGCUUAACCCCGGGCCUGCAGUGGGUACGGGCAGACUAGAGUGCGGUAGGGGAGACUGGAAUUCCUGGUGUAGCGGUGGAAUGCGCAGAUAUCAGGAGGAACACCGAUGGCGAAGGCAGGUCUCUGGGCCACUACUGACGCUGAGAAGCGAAAGCAUGGGGAGCGAACAGG
rnacentral:rRNA from 1 species